rnacentral:rRNA from 1 species
GACAGAGGGUGCAAACGUUGUUCGGAAUUACUGGGCGUAAAGCGCGUGUAGGCGGCAGCGUGUGUCGGGCGUGAAAUCCCAUGGCUCAACCUGGGAACUGCAAUGGAAACUGGCGGGCUUGAGUGUGGCAGAGGGGGGUGGAAUUCCACGUGUAGCAGUGAAAUGCGUAGAUAUGUGGAGGAACACCGAUGGCGAAGGCAGCCCCCUGGGUUAACACUGACGCUCAUGCACGAAAGCGUGGGGAGCAAACAGG